rnacentral:rRNA from 1 species
UUUGGCCUACGGGACGCAGCAGUGGGGAAUAUUGCACAAUGGGGGAAACCCUGAUGCAGCGAUGCCGCGUGGAGGAAGAAGGUUUUCGGAUUGUAAACUCCUUUUAUCAGGGACGAUAAUGACGGUACCUGAAGAAAAAGCUCCAGCUAACUACGUGCCAGCAGCCGCGGUAAUACGUAGGGAGCGAGCGUUGUCCGGAAUUACUGGGUGUAAAGGGAGCGUAGGCGGGACGGCAAGUCAGAUGUGAAAACUGAGGGCUCAACCUUCAGACUGCAUUUGAAACUGCUGUUCUUGAGUGAAGAAGG